rnacentral:tRNA from 1 species
GCAGUGGUGGGUCAGUGGUAGAAUUAUAGCCUUCUGUUUAGGAGAUCCAGGUUCGAUUCCUGGCUAAUGCA